rnacentral:rRNA from 1 species
CCUACGGGUGGCAGCAGUGGGGAAUAUUGGACAAUGGGGGGAACCCUGAUCCAGCCAUGCCGCGUGUGUGAAGAAGGCCCUCGGGUUGUAAAGCACUUUCAGUGAGGAAGAACGCCUGGUGGUUAAUACCCAUCUGGAAAGACAUCACUCACAGAAGAAGCACCGGCUAACUCCGUGCCAGCAGCCGCGGUAAUACGGAGGGUGCGAGCGUUAAUCGGAAUUACUGGGCGUAAAGCGCGCGUAGGUGGCUUGAUAAGCCGGUUGUGAAAGCCCCGGGCUCAACCUGGGAACGGCAUCCGGAACUGUCAAGCUAGAGUGCAGGAGAGGAAGGUAGAAUUCCCGGUGUAGCGGUGAAAUGCGUAGAGAUCGGGAGGAAUACCAGUGGCGAAGGCGGCCUUCUGGACUGACACUGACACUGAGGUGCGAAAGCGUGGGUAGCAAACAGGAUUAGAUACCCCUGUAGUC